rnacentral:rRNA from 1 species
AACGAACGCUGGCGGCAGGCCUAACACAUGCAAGUCGAGCGCGCCCUUCGGGGUGAGCGGCGGACGGGUGCGUAACGCGUGGGAACGUGCCCUUUUCUACGGAAUAGCUCCGCGAAACUGAUGGUAAUACCGUAUACGCCCUUCGGGGGAAAGAUUUAUCGCAAAAGGAUCGGCCCGCGUUGGAUUAGGUAGUUGGUGGGGUAAUGGCCUACCAAGCCGACGAUCCAUAGCUGGUUUGAGAGGAUGAUCAGCCACACUGGGACUGAGACACGGCCCAGACUCCUACGGGAGGCAGCAGUGGGGAAUCUUAGACAAUGGGGGCAAGCCUGAUCUAGCCAUGCCGCGUGAGUGAUGAAGGCCUUAGGGUUGUAAAGCUCUUUCAGCUGGGAAGAUAAUGACGGUACCGGGAGAAGAAGCCCCGGCUAACUCCGUG